rnacentral:rRNA from 1 species
ACUCCUACGGGAGGCAGCAGUGGGGAAUAUUGCACAAUGGGCGCAAGCCUGAUGCAGCCAUGCCGCGUGAGUGAUGAAGGCCUUAGGGUCGUAAAGCUCUUUCGCCAGGGAUGAUAAUGACAGUACCUGGUAAAGAAACCCCGGCUAACUCCGUGCCAGCAGCCGCGGUAAUACGGAGGGGGUUAGCGUUGUUCGGAAUUACUGGGCGUAAAGCGCGCGUAGGCGGGUUGUUAAGUUAGAGGUGAAAUCCCGGGGCUCAACCCCGGAACUGCCUUUAAUACUGGCAACCUAGAGUUCGAGAGAGGUGAGUGGAAUUCCGAGUGUAGAGGUGAAAUUCGUAGAUAUUCGGAGGAACACCAGUGGCGAGGCGGCUCACUGGCUCGAUACUGACGCUGAGGUGCGAAAGUGUGGGGAGCAAACAGGAUUAGAUACCCUGGUAGCGACUGA